GUAGUGGAUAGCUCAGUGGCUAGAGCGCCUAAAUAUAUCCUUUUUUCACAACUUGCCUGCAAAGGCCGACGAAUUGAGGGUUAUCGCCUGCCAAGCGGGAGGUCGCGGGUUCAAAUCCCGCUCCACUACGCCA
rnacentral:tRNA from 3 species